rnacentral:sRNA from 1 species
AACACCAGACAAUUAUGUAUUCCGUAAUGGCCCACCAAUCUGUGUGUACCAGGCUGGAUACCCCUUUCUUGCCUCUAUAAAUGCUUGCCUAAAACUAGGCUCAGGGCUCUACCUUCCUGCUGCAUCAGGGUUGGCUGGGAGCCCAAGCUCGACCUUGAAUAAAGAGAUCCUAAUGCGAUUGCACUGGAUUCCGCUCUUUGGUGGUCCGUUGGGAUUCACAGAUGUUUCCUGGCAACAACGUUUUAGUGCAUUGGCUGGGAACUCCAAGGUCUCCAGGUUACCACCUGGAGGGUCUCAAUAUCCAUGAAGUCUUUCUGAGUCUGUGCGUCUGUCCAUAAACAUCUGAUCCUACUCCGGAAGAACUCAUCUCUUGGGACGAUCGCAGACAGAGGCUUUUUGCCAUGUUUUCAAGAACUCGGUUGAACUUUGGGGAGCACACGAGCCACCACAUCCUCUAUGGGCAACACAUUUGGAAUCCAUUUUGAGGCACAUCAGAGAAUUUCUCCUGGCAUCCUGGCUGGUCCUAGUCACUCCCACUGGAUUAUGUGGAUUCAGCAGAGGCUUGGCUGUUUCUGCUGGAUCAUAACACUGCUGCUGAUUCCUGUUUGGUAUCCUGACACUACUGAACUGGACUGCUGGUGUCCUGGCAACGGAGAUUGGAAUCACCUCAAAGAAUUACUUCUAAACAGGUCCACACCCCCAUGUCCUAUUCACCAUCUUUUUCCCCUACCUUUGAAAGGUGGGCUAGAAGUGGGGUCAAAGCAUUUGGGAAACCUUAUUAAA